GAUGAACGCUGGCGGCGUGCCUAAUACAUGCAAGUCGAGCGAACAGACGAGGAGCUUGCUCCUCUGACGUUAGCGGCGGACGGGUGAGUAACACGUGGAUAACCUACCUAUAAGACUGGGAUAACUUCGGGAAACCGGAGCUAAUACCGGAUAAUAUAUUGAACCGCAUUGUUCAAUAGUGAAAGACGGUUUUGCUGUCACUUAUAGAUGGAUCCGCGCCGCAUUAGCUAGUUGGUAAGGUAACGGCUUACCAAGGCAACGAUGCGUAGCCGACCUGAGAGGGUGAUCGGCCACACUGGAACUGAGACACGGUCCAGACUCCUACGGGAGGCAGCAGUAGGGAAUCUUCCGCAAUGGGCGAAAGCUUGACGGAGCAACGCCGCGUGAGUGAUGAAGGUCUUCGGAUCGUAAAACUCUGUUAUUAGGGAAGAACAAAUGUGUAAGUAACUAUGCACGUCUUGACGGUACCUAAUCAGAAAGCAACGGCUAACUACGUG
rnacentral:rRNA from 1 species